CGUAGGUGGUUUAUUAAGUUGGGUGUAAAUACCUGGGCUCAACCUGGGUUUGCCAUUCAAGACUGGUAGACUAGAGUGCAGUAGAGGGAAGUGGAAUUUCCGGUGUAGCGGUGAAAUGCGUAGAUAUCGGAAGGAACACCAGAGGCGAAGGCGACUUUCUGGGCUGCAACUGACACUGAGGCGCGAAAGCAUGGGGAGCGGAACAG
rnacentral:rRNA from 1 species